ensembl:lncRNA
CAGCUGACCAGAAAAUCUGCGACGAAGAUACGAUAACAAGAGAUGGCCUCUGGUGGACCAACCAGGUGGAGCUCCUGGUCCUCAGGCUCCUGCUCAUCAAGCUGCUGGUCUUCAACACAUUGAUGAGUGCCCUCGCUGCUGUGAGCUGAUGGUGAAGGACGGGGGAUUCCCACGACAAUGUGGCCGACGCCAUCUUCAUCAGGAGAAGACUCGAGGACACAGAGGUUCCUAAAAGCCCACCAACACCGUCACCGUGGGCAACAUGUUGUACCUCCGUCCUGGUACUGUCCUGCCCUUAGCUCGACAAACACGACAUUGAAAGUGUUUUUCUAGGAGGAAUCGUUGUGGAUGUUAAGAGGGAACAGCAG